rnacentral:snoRNA from 1 species
AAGUAUUAGAUGAUGAUACACUUUAUUUUAUGCAUAGUUCAACUGAAUUACUAAAACAUGUUAGAUACAAUAGCCAUCAUGUCUUUCGCUCCUAUCUGAUUUUUCAU